CAGGAUGAACGCUAGCUACAGGCUUAACACAUGCAAGUCGAGGGGCAGCAUGGUCUUAGCUUGCUAAGGCCGAUGGCGACCGGCGCACGGGUGAGUAGCACGUAUCCAACCUGCCGUCUACUCUUGGACAGCCUUCUGAAAGGAAGAUUAAUACAAGAUGGCAUCAUGAGUCCACAUGUUCACAUGAUUAAAGGUAUUCCGGUAGACGAUGGGGAUGCGUUCCAUUAGAUAGUAGGCGGGGUAACGGCCCACCUAGUCUUCGAUGGAUAGGGGUUCUGAGAGGAAGGUCCCCCACAUUGGAACUGAGACACGGUCCAAACUCCUACGGGAGGCAGCAGUGAGGAAUAUUGGUCAAUGGGCGAGAGCCUGAACCAGCCAAGUAGCGUGAAGGAUGACUGCCCUAUGGGUUGUAAACUUCUUUUAUAAAGGAAUAAAGUCGGGUAUGCAUACCCGUUUGCAUGUACUUUAUGAAUAAGGAUCGGCUAACUCCGUGCCAGCAGCCGCGGUAAUACGGAGGAUCCGAGCGUUAUCCGGAUUUAUUGGGUUUAAAGGGAGCGUAGAUGGAUGUUUAAGUCAGUUGUGAAAGUUUGCGGCUCAACCGUAAAAUUGCAGUUGAUACUGGAUAUCUUGAGUGCAGUUGAGGCAGGCGGAAUUCGUGGUGUAGCGGUGAAAUGCUUAGAUAUCACGAAGAACUCCGAUUGCGAAGGCAGCCUGCUAAGCUGCAACUGACAUUGAGGCUCGAAAGUGUGGGUAUCAAACAGGAUUAGAUACCCUGGUAGUCCACACGGUAAACGAUGAAUACUCGCUGUUUGCGAUAUACAGCAAGCGGCCAAGCGAAAGCGUUAAGUAUUCCACCUGGGGAGUACGCCGGCAACGGUGAAACUCAAAGGAAUUGACGGGGGCCCGCACAAGCGGAGGAACAUGUGGUUUAAUUCGAUGAUACGCGAGGAACCUUACCCGGGCUUAAAUUGCAGAUGAAUUACGGUGAAAGCCGUAAGCCGCAAGGCAUCUGUGAAGGUGCUGCAUGGUUGUCGUCAGCUCGUGCCGUGAGGUGUCGGCUUAAGUGCCAUAACGAGCGCAACCCUUGUUGUCAGUUACUAACAGGUCAUGCUGAGGACUCUGACAAGACUGCCAUCGUAAGAUGUGAGGAAGGUGGGGAUGACGUCAAAUCAGCACGGCCCUUACGUCCGGGGCUACACACGUGUUACAAUGGGGGGUACAGAGGGCCGCUACCACGCGAGUGGAUGCCAAUCCCAAAAACCUCUCUCAGUUCGGACUGGAGUCUGCAACCCGACUCCACGAAGCUGGAUUCGCUAGUAAUCGCGCAUCAGCCACGGCGCGGUGAAUACGUUCCCGGGCCUUGUAUACACCGCCCGUCAAGCCAUGGGAGCCGGGGGUACCUGAAGUGCGUAACCGCGAGGAGCGCCCUAGGGUAAAACUG
rnacentral:rRNA from 1 species